rnacentral:rRNA from 16 species
UGAUAGGCCGGGUGUGUAAGCGCAGCGAUGCGUUGAGCUAACCGGUACUAAUGAACCGUGAGGCUUAACCUUACAACGCCGAAG